rfam:Oryza brachyantha chromosome 5, whole genome shotgun sequence.
AAUAAUCUCAUUUUUCGUUUUUUCGUGUCCAGCGUUUGACCAUUCGUCUUAUUUGAAAUUUUUUUGCGAUUAAUAUUUUUGUUCUUACUAGAUGACAAAACAUGAAUAGUACUUUAUGCGUGACUAAUUUUUUUAAGUUUUUAUACAAAAUUUUCAAAUAAGAUGAAUAGUCAAACGUUGGACACGGAAAAAC